AUUGAACGCUGGCGGCAGGCCUAACACAUGCAAGUCGAGCGGAUGAGAGGAGCUUGCUCCUCGAUUCAGCGGCGGACGGGUGAGUAAUGCCUAGGAAUCUGCCUAGUAGUGGGGGACAACGUUUCGAAAGGAACGCUAAUACCGCAUACGUCCUACGGGAGAAAGUGGGGGAUCUUCGGACCUCACGCUAUUAGAUGAGCCUAGGUCGGAUUAGCUAGUUGGUAGGGUAAAGGCCUACCAAGGCGACGAUCCGUAACUGGUCUGAGAGGAUGAUCAGUCACACUGGAACUGAGACACGGUCCAGACUCCUGCGGGAGGCAGCAGUGGGGAAUAUUGGACAAUGGGCGAAAGCCUGAUCCAGCCAUGCCGCGUGUGUGAAGAAGGUCUUCGGAUUGUAAAGCACUUUAAGUUGGGAGGAAGGGUAUUCACCUAAUACGUGGGUACUUUGACGUUACCAACAGAAUAAGCACCGGCUAACUCUGUGCCAGCCGCCGCCGUAAAAC
rnacentral:rRNA from 1 species